UGGGGAAUCUUGUGCAAUGGACGAAAGUCUGACACAGCCACGCCGCGUGCGGGAAGAAGGCCUUCGGGUUGUAAACCGCUUUCAGCAGGAACGAAAAUGACGGUACCUGCAGAAGAAGGAGCGGCCAACUACGUGCCAGCAGCCGCGGUGACACGUAGGCUCCAAGCGUUGUCCGGAUUUAUUGGGCGUAAAGAGCUCGUAGGCGGUUCAGCAAGUCGGGUGUGAAAACUCUGGGCUCAACCCAGAGCCUGCACCCGAAACUGCUGUGACUAGAGUUCGGUAGGGGAGUGGGGAAUUCCUAGUGUAGCGGUGAAAUGCGCAGAUAUUAGGAGGAACACCGAUGGCGAAGGCACCACUCUGGGCCGAAACUGACGCUGAGGAGCGAAAGCGUGGGUAGCAAACAGG
rnacentral:rRNA from 1 species